CGUUGCACUAUCGUUUGAUGAAUACAUAGUCAAACGAAGCGAACCGGGGGAACUGAAACAUCUCAGUACCCCGAGGAAAAGAAAUCAACCGAGAUUCCCCUAGUAGCGGCGAGCGAACGGGGAGCAGCCCAGAGUCUUAAUCAGCAUUAGCAUCAGGAGAACGGUCUGGAAAGUCCGGCAGUAAAGGGUGAUAGCCCCGUAUCCGAAGGUGUUAGUGUUGUGAACUCGACGAGUAGGGCGGGACACGUGUUAUCCUGUCUGAAUAUGGGGGGACCAUCCUCCAAGGCUAAAUACUCCUGAUUGACCGAUAGUGAACCAGUACCGUGAGGGAAAGGCGAAAAGAACCCCGGCGAGGGGAGUGAAAUAGAACCUGAAACCGUGUACGUACAAGCAGUGGGAGCACCUUUAGGGUGUGACUGCGUACCUUUUGUAUAAUGGGUCAGCGACUUAUAUUCUGUAGCAAGGUUAACCGUAUAGGGGAGCCGUAGGGAAACCGAGUCUUAACUGGGCGAAUAAGUUGCAGGGUAUAGACCCGAAACCCGGUGAUCUAGCCAUGGGCAGGUUGAAGGUUGGGUAACACUAACUGGAGGACCGAACCGACUAAUGUUGAAAAAUUAGCGGAUGACUUGUGGCUGGGGGUGAAAGGCCAAUCAAACCGGGAGAUAGCUGGUUCUCCCCGAAAGCUAUUUAGGUAGCGCCUCGUGAACUCAUCUUCGGGGGUAGAGCACUGUUUCGACUAGGGGGUCAUCCCGACUUACCAACUCGAUGCAAACUACGAAUACCGAAGAAUGUUAUCACGGGAGACACACGGCGGGUGCUAACGUUCGUCGUGAAGAGGGAAACAACCCAGACCGCCAGCUAAGGUCCCAAAGUCAUAGUUAAGUGGGAAACGAAGUGGGAAGGCUCAGACAGCCAGGAUGUUGGCUUAGAAGCAGCCAUCAUUUAAAGAAAGCGUAAUAGCUCACUGGUCGAGUCGGCCUGCGCGGAAGAUGUAACGGGGCUAAACUAUGCACCGAAGCUGCGGCAGCGAUAUUUAGAUAUUGUUGGGUAGGGGAGCGUUCUGUAAGCCUGUGAAGGUGUGCUGUGAGGCAUGCUGGAGGUAUCAGAAGUGCGAAUGCUGACAUAAGUAACGAUAAUGCGGGUGAAAAACCCGCACGCCGGAAGACCAAGGGUUCCUGUCCAACGUUAAUCGGGGCAGGGUGAGUCGACCCCUAAGGCGAGGCAGAAAUGCGUAGUCGAUGGGAAACGGGUUAAUAUUCCCGUACUGGUGAUAAUUGCGAUGGGGGGACGGAGAAGGCUAGGCUAUCCGGGCGACGGUUGUCCCGGUUUAAGGAUGUAGGCAGGUGAAUUAGGCAAAUCCGGUUCACUA
rnacentral:rRNA from 1 species